CCUACGGGCUGCAGCAGUGAGGAAUAUUGGUCAAUGGCCGGAAGGCUGAACCAGCCAUGCCGCGUGAAGGUCAGUGCCCUAUGGGCGUUAAACUUCUUUUGUGCGGGAGCAAUAAUGGUCACGUGUGGCCAGACGAGAGUACCGUACGAAUAAGCAUCAGCUAACUCCGUGCCAGCAGCCGCGGUAAUACGGGGGAUGCAAGCGUUAUCCGGAUUUAUUGGGUUUAAAGGGUGCGUAGGCUGUGAGGUAAGUCAGCGGUGAAAUGCCCCCGCUCAACGGGGUGAAGUGCCAUUGAUACUGCCUUGCUGGAAUGCGGAUGCGGUGGGAGGAAUGUGUGGUGUAGCGGUAAAAUGCGUAAAUAUAUGUAAGAACACCAGUGGCGAAGGCGGCUUGCUGGGUCGAUACUGACAUUGAGGCACGAAAGCGUGGGGAGCAAACAGGAUUAGAUACCCGAGUAGUC
rnacentral:rRNA from 1 species